UACGUAGGUGGCGAGCGUUGUCCGGAAUUACUGGGUGUAAAGGGCGCGUAGGCGGGGAUGUAAGUCAGAUGUGAAAUACCGCAGCUUAACUGCGGGGCUGCAUCUGAAACUAUGUUUCUUGAGUGCUGGAGAGGAAAGUGGAAUUCCCAGUGUAGCGGUGAAAUGCGUAGAGAUUGGGAGGAACACCAGUGGCGAAGGCGGCUUUCUGGACAGUAACUGACGCUGAGGCGCGAAAGCGUGGGGAGCAAACAGG
rnacentral:rRNA from 1 species